rnacentral:rRNA from 1 species
AUUGAACGCUGGCGGCAGGCCUAACACAUGCAAGUCGAACGAGUGGCGGACGGGUGAGUAAUGUCUGGGAAACUGCCUGAUAGAGGGGGAUAACUACUGGAAACGGUAGCUAAUACCGCAUACCCUCAGAUGUGCCCAGAUGGGAUUAGCUUGUUGGUGGGGUAACGGCUAACCAAGGCGACGAUCCCUAGCUGGUCUGCGAGGAUUAUCAGCCAAAAUGGAACUGAGACUCGGUCAAGAAUCCUACGGGAGGCAGUAGUGGGGAAUAUGGGACAAUGGGCGAAAGCCUGAUGCAGCCAUGCCGCGUGUAUGAAGAAGGCUGUAGGGUGGUAAAGUACUUUCAGCGUGGAGGCGUUACCCGCAGAAGAAGCACCGGCUAACUCCGUGCCAGCAGCCGCGGUAAUAC